rnacentral:rRNA from 1 species
GACGAACGCUGGCGGCGUGCUUAACACAUGCAAGUCGAACGGUAAGGCCCUUUCGGGGGUACACGAGUGGCGAACGGGUGAGUAACACGUGGGUGAUCUGCCCUGCACUUUGGGAUAAGCCUGGGAAACUGGGUCUAAUACCGGAUAGGACUACGCGAUGCAUGUCGUGUGGUGGAAAGCUUUUGCGGUGUGGGAUGGGCCCGCGGCCUAUCAGCUUGUUGGUGGGGUGAUGGCCUUCCAAGGCGACGACGGGUAGCCGGCCUGAGAGGGUGUCCGGCCACACUGGGACUGAGAUACGGCCCAGACUCCUACGGGAGGCAGCAGUGGGGAAUAUUGCACAAUGGGCGCAAGCCUGAUGCAGCGACGCCGCGUGGGGGAUGACGGCCUUCGGGUUGUAAACCCCUUUCAGCACAGACGAAGCGUAAGUGACGGUAUGUGCAGAAGAAGCACCGGCCAACUACGUG